rnacentral:rRNA from 1 species
UGCAGAAUCCCGCGAACCAUCGAGUCUUUGAACGCAAGUUGCGCCCGAGGCCUUUCGGCCGAGGGCACGCCUGCCUGGGCGUCACGCCAAACACGCUCCCACCCCCUUCACCGGGGAGAAGGACGCGGCAUGUGGCUCUCCGUCACAAAAGGGGCGGAGGGCCGAAGAUUCGGCUGCCGGCGUAUCGUGUCGGACACAGCGCGUGGUGGGCGACCUCGCUUUACUUACCGUAGUGUAUCCGACACGUAGCCGACAUCAUGGCCUGAAAUGACCCUAUGCACGGAGUGCAUGACACUUCGACCGCGACCCCAGGUCAGGCGGGACUACCCGCUGAGUUUAAGCAUAUAAAUAAGCGGAGGAGAAGAAACUUACAAGGAUUCCCCUAGUAACGGCGAGCGAACCGGGAUCAGCCCAGCUUGAGAAUCGGGCGGCCAUGCUGUCCGA